AGUGAACGCUGGCGGUAGGCCUAACACAUGCAAGUCGAACGGCAGCACAGUAAGAGCUUGCUCUUACGGGUGGCGAGUGGCGGACGGGUGAGGAAUACAUCGGAAUCUACUUUUUCGUGGGGGAUAACGUAGGUAAACUUACGCUAAUACCGCAUACGACCUACGGUUGAAAGCAGGGGAUCUUCGGACCUUGCGCGAUUGAAUGAGCCGAUGUCGGAUUAGCUAGUUGGCGGGGUAAAGGCCCACCCAGGCGACGAUCCGUAGCUGGUCUGAGAGGAUGAUCAGCCACACUGGAACUGAGACACGGUCCAGACUCCUACGGGAGGCAGCAGUGGGGAAUAUUGGACAAUGGGCGCAAGCCUGAUCCAGCCAUACCGCGUGGGUGAAGAAGGCCUUCGGGUUGUAAAGCCCUUUUGUUGGGAAAGAAAAGCAGCAGGUUAAUACCCCGCUGUUCUGACGGUACCCAAAGAAUAAGCACCGGCUAACUUCGUG
rnacentral:rRNA from 1 species